CAUUAAAGAGUUCUAUAACUCCCAAACCCAUGUGAACAUACCUAACGUUGCCUCGGCAGGUCGCACCUACCUUGUAGCACCCUACCCUGUAGGGCCUACCCGGGAGGUGCGGGUAAGCCUGCCGGCGGCCCACCAAACUCUGUUUGAUAUUGAAUUCUGAACCUAUAACUAAAUAAGUUAAAACUUUCAACAACGGAUCUCUUGGUUCUGGCAUCGAUGAAGAACGCAGCGAAAUGCGAUAAGUAAUGUGAAUUGCAGAAUUCAGUGAAUCAUCGAAUCUUUGAACGCAUAUUGCGCCCAUUAGUAUUCUAGUGGGCAGGACCGUUCGAGCGUCAUUUCAACCCUUAAGCCUUCGUUGCUUAGUGUUGGGAGCCUACGGCAACGUAGCUCCUCAAAGUUAGUGGCGGAGUUGGUUCACACUCUAGACGUAGUAAUUUUUUAUCUCGCCUAUUAGUUGGACUAAUCCCCUGCCGUAAAACCCCUAAUUUAUCAAGGUUGACCUCGAAUCGGUUCAGACAAACUCGCUAAAUUGAAGCAUCUUAGUCAGCGAAGGAAAAGAAACCAACAGGGAUUGCCCUAGUAACGGCGAGUGAAGCGGCAACAGCUCAAAUUUGAAAUCUGGCCCUCGGGUCCGAGU
rnacentral:rRNA from 1 species